AGCCCAAGGAGGCGGAGGGGGGAAAUUAAGAAAAAAAUAAAAAAUAAGAAGGCGCGCGCACGGCGGCACGGCCGUUUGUUUGCCGUCCGCACGCGCUGGGGGGGCGGGGCCGCGCGCGCGGCGUAGGCGCCGUCAGGUGACGGGCCGGCCCCGCCCCCGCGGAGAGCGGGGGAUGCCGGGCGGCUCGCGGCCUGGCCGGUGACGGCGGGAGCGCGUGACGGGCGCGGGUCGGUCGCUGGCGCCCGUUCCUGGCGGGCUGGGAGCACGGGGCCGCGGCCCGAGGGGAUUCCCCCCCUACACACACACACACACACACACACCUCCUCCCACCUCCCCGGGAAAAACCCCACGGAAAGUAAAAGCCUCCGGCACCGGGUUUCCGGGAAGCGGAAUCGCUGCCCGCACCCGGCGGUGCCGCUCCGUCCCGCAAAAGCCUCAGCCGGGCCCGCUCCUCCCGCGGGGCGCGUAGGCCAAGCAGCGGGGCCCGGCAGCCCCACAGCAGCUACAAUACUCCUCCCACCCUCCAGCCCCGGCGGCCCCACGCGUCGGGGGAGCGGGAUUCCGGGUGCCCAGCGUGUGCCGUCGCUAACGGCGGCCGCCCGGAGGAGCGCUGUGCCCCGGAGCCGGGCUGUCUCGGCAGCUGCUGCUUAACGGGGCGUUUAAGUCUCGUCUCCGCCCCUUCUCCCGCAAGUUGCAGUGCGGCGCCUCUGAGUUUACUACCCUACUCUGAGGACGAGACGGUAAACCGGUCACCCGGGGCGGCUGCUCUUCGUUACAGCGCAGCUCUCCCCGCCCGGGAGCCGGGCCAGGGCCGGCCGGGGUCACCCACCGGGGGAAAGGCGCGGGGGGAGAGGGGGUGUCCCGGCAGCAGCGCGGGGACACCUGCUGGCGCCACCGCCGCCGUCACGCGGCGCUCAGCUGGGCGCGCGCGCGGCGGGACCGGGCUCGGAGCCCGCGGGCGGCGUCACGGGACCCCGCGCGCGUGCCGCACCCGCCGUCACCUGCCCGCGCUCCGGGAGGGGGAGGGGAAGUCAGCAAAGGGGGAACCCUCUCCUGCCUGAAGUCUUCAGCGCCGGGUAACGUCCGGUAACUCUGGCAAGCCCCGAGUCACAGGAACUGGAGAGGCUCUAUUAUGACUUUGCUACUUUGAAAAUGGGAAGGUCCUUUCCCUAGAAAAACAGAUGCACCUUCUGCUACAGCAGCGAGGGGCUCCGCUGAUUUUCAGUUCCGUGGCAAUGCUUCCUGUUUGCCUUUGCAAAGCUUCAAUACCCAAGAGAGGAUAACUUAAGCAAGCAGAAGACGAGGUGUGGAAUCUCUCCUCUGUCUCCCCCAGGAUUGAGACACGAAGCCUUUCUGCAAUUUUGGAUCACUGCUCUAGGUGUCCCAGAAGCAGCGAUGGUUGUUUUCUAAAGCUGUAUUUAGAUGGUUUUGACUUUCACUUAUUGAUGUAUCAAAUUUUUUGCUGUUUGAAACAGAUCACCAUCUCAAGUUCUGCCUAUAAGUUUUUGUGUAGCUUAAAAUUAUAAUCAGGUGAGACUA